AAUCAUCAACUCCCUCCUUUUUUCUAAAGGUCGGUGAGCUUGGAUUUGGGGAUCUGCUGGCCUCACGGUCGGCUUCCCUUGAAUGCAUUAGCUGGAUCCAUGAUUUGCAGCAUAUAUGCGGUGUGAUAAUGUCUUCACUGCAUUGCUCAGAUCGUCUGGCUUCUAAUAGUCCUUUGAUUAGGACAACUUUGAUCA
rnacentral:misc_RNA from 1 species